rnacentral:rRNA from 1 species
UACGUAGGGGGCGAGCGUUGUCCGGAAUUAUUGGGCGUAAAGAGCGUGUAGGCGGCUUUACAGGUCCGUUGUGAAAACUCGAGGCUCAACCUCGAGACGCCGGUGGAAACCGUAAAGCUAGAGUCCGGAAGAGGAGAGUGGAAUUCCUGGUGUAGCGGUGAAAUGCGCAGAUAUCAGGAAGAACACCCGUGGCGAAGGCGGCUCUCUGGGACGUGACUGACGCUGAGACGCGAAAGCGUGGGGAGCAAACAGG